AUGCAGAAAAGGAUGGCAUUAACAGCUACAGAGUUCAUAAAUAAAGCAUUGAGCAUUUGUUGAAUUUAACUUAAGAUCAAACUGGACUUUGUUCAAUUGUAUAUAUUGUAUAAAAAUAUACGAAAACACUAUAAUACAAUAAAUUUACAAUAAGUUAGGUUCUUUACCAACUAUUCUGGCAUGACAGUACACAAAUAAAUCACAACAUUAACUCUGAUAUUAUAACAUUUAACAGACGUGUGUGUGUGUGUGUGUGUGUGUGUGUGUGUGUGUGCGCGCGCGUGUCAUGUGUAUGAAUGACAGAGUGUAAACUCUUCUACUAAACAACACAGAAAAAGCAUUUAACAUUGUUUUU